rnacentral:rRNA from 1 species
AGAGUUUGUUCUGGCUCAGGACGAACGCUGGCGGCGUGCCUAAUACAUGCAAGUCGAACGCUUUUAUCUCACCGGGUGCUUGCACCCACCGAGAUAAAGGAGUGGCGGACGGGUGAGUAACACGUGGGUAACCUGCCCAUAAGUGGGGGAUAACAUUCGGAAACGGAUGCUAAUACCGCAUAUCUCUAUUGGCCUCAUGGCCAAGUGAUGAAAGGCGGCUUCGGCUGUCGCUUAUGGAUGGACCCGCGGCGCAUUAGUUAGUUGGUGAGGUAACGGCUCACCAAGACGAUGAUGCGUAGCCGACCUGAGAGGGUGAUCGGCCACACUGGGACUGAGACACGGCCCAGACUCCUACGGGAGGCAGCAGUAGGGAAUCUUCCGCAAUGGACGAAAGUCUGACGGAGCAACGCCGCGUGAGUGAAGAAGGUUUUCGGAUCGUAAAACUCUGUUGUUAGAGAAGAACAAGGAUGAGAGUAACUGCUCGUCCCUUGACGGUAUCUAACCAGAAAGCCAUGGCUAACUACGUGCCAGCAGCCGCGGUAAUACGUAGAUGGCAAGCGUUGUCCGGAUUUAUUGGGCGUAAAGCGAGUGCAGGCGGUUCUUUAAGUCUGAUGUGAAAGCCCCUGGCUUAACCAGGGAGGGUCAUUGGAAACUGGAGGACUUGAGUGCAGAAGAGGAAAGUGGAAUUCCAUGUGUAGCGGUGAAAUGCGUAGAUAUAUGGAGGAACACCAGUGGCGAAGGCGACUUUCUGGUCUGUAACUGACGCUGAGACUCGAAAGCAUGGGGAGCAAACAGGAUUAGAUACCCUGGUAGUCCAUGCCGUAAACGAUGAGUGCUAAGUGUUGGAGGGUUUCCGCCCUUCAGUGCUGCAGCUAACGCAUUAAGCACUCCGCCUGGGGAGUACGGCCGCAAGGCUGAAACUCAAAGGAAUUGACGGGGGCCCGCACAAGCGGUGGAGCAUGUGGUUUAAUUCGAAGCAACGCGAAGAACCUUACCAGGUCUUGACAUCCUUUGACCACUCUAGAGAUAGAGCUUUCCCUUCGGGGACAAAGUGACAGGUGGUGCAUGGUUGUCGUCAGCUCGUGUCGUGAGAUGUUGGGUUAAGUCCCGCAACGAGCGCAACCCUUAUUAUUAGUUGCCAGCAUUUAGUUGGGCACUUUAGUGAGACUGCCGGUGACAAACCGGAGGAAGGUGGGGAUGACGUCAAAUCAUCAUGCCCCUUAUGACCUGGGCUACACACGUGCUACAAUGGAUGGUACAACGAGUUGCGAAACAGUGAUGUUUAGCUAAUCUCUUAAAGCCAUUCUCAGUUCGGAUUGUAGGCUGCAAUUCGCCUACAUGAAGCCGGAAUCGCUAGUAAUCGCGGAUCAGCACGCCGCGGUGAAUACGUUCCCGGGCCUUGUACACACCGCCCGUCACACCACGAGAGUCUGUAACACCACAAAGUGCGGUGAGGUAACCUUCGGGAGCCAGCCGCCUAAGGUGGGAU